GAGUUUGAUCUUGGCUCAGAUUGAGCGCUGGCGGCAUGCCUAACACAUGCAAGUCGAACGGCAGCACUGGGAGCUUGCUCCCUGGUGGCGAGUGGCGGACGGGUGAGUAACGCGUAGGAAUCUGCCUCAUAGCGGGGGACGAACUCGGGGAAACGUCGAGCUAAUACCGCAUACUACUCGAGAGAGGAAAGCAGGGGACCGUUC
rnacentral:rRNA from 1 species